CUUGAAAAACUCAUGACAGAAGCCUUAUACUGAACCGAUACCGUACCAAAUGAGUUAAUUGGUUUUCCAAAAGACUUAAAGACCGGAUUGAUAUCCAAAGCGAUUUUUGGGUAGUGAAAGAGAGUUUCCCUCUCUUAACUUGCUAAGUGAAUGGCUGAUAGCAUUUACUGCGGUUUGUUUAACAGUAAUUAUAGAUAAAUCAUACUCAGAAUCAUUUCGCUUUAAACUCUUCAGAUCAUUCAACAUAUCUUGUAUGUUAGUUUUGUUGUCGACUAUUUCCUUUGUUGUGAACUCUAUCAUCGAAUUCAGAUGUUCAUGCUUAUUUGAAACGUCUUCGAUUAUUUUCUGUUCUAAAUUGUCUAAAUGGCCAUUUAGUUCUCUUCUUAUAUCACUUAUUUUAUUCAAGCAAUACAUUCUUUGAUCACUAAUAUCUGAUUUUAUUUUAGAAAGGAAAUUGUCAAUGGCGU
rnacentral:lncRNA from 1 species